rnacentral:rRNA from 1 species
AUUGAACGCUGGCGGCAGGCCUAACACAUGCAAGUCGAGCGAGCGGCGGACGGGUGAGUAAUGCCUAGGAAUCUGCCUGGUAGUGGGGGAUAACGUCCGGAAACUGUAGCUAAUACCGCGUACCAUAGGAUGAGCCCAAGUGGGAUUAGGUAGUUGGUGAGGUAAAGGCUCACCAAGCCGACGAUCUCUAGCUGGUCUGAGAGGAUGACCAGCCACACUGGGACUGAGACACGGCCCAGACUCCUACGGGAGGCAGCAGUGGGGAAUAUUGCGCAAUGGGGGCAACCUGACGCAGCCAUGCCGCGUGAAUGAAGAAGGCCUUCGGGUUGUAAAGUUCUUUCGGUAGCGAGGCGUUAACUACAGAAGAAGCACCGGCUAACUCCGUGCCAGCAGCCGCGGUAAUUC